AGGUUCUUCAAUGGACACCAUGAUUAAGAACAUUGUUUUCAGAGUCUGGAAGUUCUGGGUUUGAGCCAAGGCUCUGCCACUGACUACCUGUAUGACAGAGGAAUAAAAAGUCUGCAUCCUUGCCACUCCCCAUCUGCGCUUGAAAGUACAAUUCAGUGAAUUAUUGGAUAAUUUGAAAGGAUGACCUCAUGGAAUGAAUUGCUGGGUCACUUCUAAGUUGCGUCAGUGUGCGUGUGGAGCAGUUUUCAAGAUAGCAACAUGUCCGCAUCAGAGAAGCUCCAAGGCUGCGUUGGCCUUAGGUGCUGCCUGAUUUCAUCUGUAAAGUCUGUGUGAAACCGGUGUCUUUAUCAGUUGCUGGAUAAAAAGAUAUUGCCAAAGGAUUUUGAAAUGGUCCAAACAAAGUUUGAUACAAGUACCUAUCCCGCUCUUAAAAUGUGCUUAUUAAAUAGAAAGAUAGUCUAUAAUACCAUCACCUAUGGCUUAAUGAACUUGUUUCAUGUGAUUCAUUUUUCUUUUUAAUGAAAGCAUAUGACGCUGUUCAUGACAUGAAUUGACUGUCACAUAGGGACAAGUGUUGUAAUAUCACCUUCCACAUUCGAGUCAAUUAGCUUCAGCCUGAAAGACGUAAAAAACACAGCCUAAUUGGAUUGAAAUUGACCUAACACAACAAUAUUUAGAUAAAACAACAAAUGGAAAGGAGUAUUGGAGAGGGAUUUGCUCAUCAUUAGUAUCAGACAUUUUCCUACACUCAGUUUCUUGGUUGAGGGUUUUGGGUUAGUAGUUUUAGCUCUAUUGUUUAUGUAAUCAUUAAAUGUCGAGGCUCAAAAGCCCCACUUCCUUUCUCAAAAUAUGAUGGCUUAGGCAAAUCAUUUCCUCCAGCUUGUGUGUGUGUGUGUGUGUUUUAGAAAUCUAUUGUUCUGAUCCAUAUGACCCUAGUUUAUUUCUUUCCAAAAUGAAUUCUAAUGAGCCAAGAUACUAAUAGAGAAAUAGAUUCUAUGAUGUGCUAUGAAAGCUCAUGCCAGGGUUUAAUAGUAGACAUCAGUGGUGGAUUUCAUGCAGUUGUUUCCACUAUAUAGACUGAUUUAAACAGCAACAGAUAGGUAACUUUUUAAAUUUCAAUAUAGCACGUCCCUUGUGAAAAUCCUUCUCAGAAGUUAAUCUGUAAGCAAUUUACUUUUUCCUACUUGCUGUGAAUGCGGUUUUAUCUUCUUUUUCUUAAUUUCAUCUUAAUACCUGACUUUCCCUUACGUAGCCCAGCUCCCCCUUUCAUACAUAGAGAGUGAAUUAACUAAAAGUAGUAUUUAUGACAUUGUUUACAUUAUCAGUAACUUAAUUUGACCAGGAUUUAUAGCUAGACUGGUUUAAAACAAAUAGCUUCA